rfam:Oryza nivara chromosome 1, whole genome shotgun sequence.
AAAAAAACAAACCCUGGAUUUCCGUGUCCAACGUUUGACUGUCCGUCUUAUUUAAAAAAAUUUAAAAAAUAAGUCACGCAUAAAGUAUUAAUCAUGUUUUAUUAUCGAACAACAAUAAAAAUACUAAUUAUAAAAAAUUUCAUAUAAGACGGACACAGCCGAACGUUGGAUACGGAAACCCAGGUUUGUCUUUUUU